rnacentral:rRNA from 1 species
AUACGGAGGGUCCGAGCGUUAUCCGGAAUCAUUGGGUUUAAAGGGUCCGUAGGCGGGAAUCUACGUCAGUGGUGACAUCUUGCAGCUCAACUGUAAAAUUGCCAUUGAUACUGGAUUUCGUGAAUUAGUGUGAAGUGGUUAGAAUGUGUAGUGUAGCGGUGAAAUGCAUAGAUAUUACACAGAAUACCAAUUGCGAAGGCAGAUCACUAACACUAUAUUGACGCUGAGGGACGAAAGCGUGGGGAGCGAACAGGAUUAGAUACCCCAGUAGUCC